CAGCCUUAGAGGUUUCAGACUGAGGAUUUGGAAGUAUGAUGAGGUUGCAAUAAUCUGCAAACAUUGUCUCAACUGUAAUGUUUCUUAGCCUUAGUUAUUGGUGGUAUUUUUUGUGGACUGCCAUAGAAAAGAACAGACUAGGGACUCCUAGAAGAUGACUCUUGAGAGACAGUGACAGUGUACAUGGCAAAAUGACCAGAAAGAGAUUUGAUCAGUCCCCAGCAAAUUAAGAAUUCAUUAUGCCUGUAAUAAUGAUGGUAUGUUUUAUAACGUUACACUUAAGCAAUUGUAAUUUCAGUUUUAUGGAGCAAAAAGUGCAGUCUCUAAGAUUUAACUUUUAAGUAGUGGAUUUAAUUGACACAGCUUGAAAAAUAUUAAUGGCUAUUCAUUAGUAGGUAUUGUCUCUUCCGUAAUCCUACGUGAUUGUUUUAAUUUAAAGUAUCUCUUUGCUUUGUGCAUAGAAUUAUUGACAAAAAUAUGUCUUUCUUCAUCAAAUGAUUAGCUAAAUCAUUCUUUUAUUUACAAGCAGUGCUGUGUCCCUGUGCCCUAAAUCUUGCUAGUUGGAGGAGUGGGAGGGAAGGCAAUUUAAUUAAGUUAACUUUAUUGACCCGCUGGAGCUGUUGUUUAAUAGCAUGGCUCCCUGGAGUGCAGUGCAGGUAAAUUGAAUGAAUGCCACAGAAUAUCACUUCCCCGCAUUGCAUAUUUCAAACCUUUGCCAGGCAGUUUGGGAUGAGCAGCCAAUCAGGAAAAAGGUUUUUCCACCCUUGCUAGCUUGGAUGGCAUUUCCCAUUAUGCUCAGAACAAUGUGCGGAGUGUUACCGAUUCGUUCCUGGUUGGUCUUUCCCACACCUAAUGAACAUUGAGGCAGCUGCAGUGGGAUGGCAUCUUCUAGGAUCCAGCUGCUCUGCUUAAAGACAUUCCUGCUUUCUACUGCCAUUACCACCCACCAGCUGGGAGCACUGCCCCUAUGAUUUUGCUAGGGAGUCACUGGUCUAAUUGCUCCUUAUCCUGCGACGUUGCAAACUCAGCCAGGCCAGUUCAGACCCACAGUUCAAACCACUUAAAAUAAACUGGCUGAUUUUGCCUCA
rnacentral:lncRNA from 1 species